GAUGAAUGCUGGCGGCGUGCCUAACACAUGCAAGUCGAGCGGUAACAGGAGUAGUUUACUACUUGCUGACGAGCGGCGGACGGCUGAGUAACGCGUGGGAACGUGCCCCAAAGUGAGGAAUAACUGCCCGAAAGGGUAGCUAAUACCGCAUAUGAUCUUCGGAUUAAAGGAUUUAUCCGCUUUGGGAGCGGCCCGCGUCGGAUUAGGUAGUUGGUGAGGUAAUGGCUCACCAAGCCCACGAUCCGUAGCUGGUCUGAGAGGAUGAUCAGCCAGACUGGAACUGAGACACGGUCCAGACUCCUACGGGAGGCAGCAGUGAGGAAUCUUCCACAAUGGGCGAAAGCCUGAUGGAGCAACGCCGCGUGCAGGAUGAAGGCCUUCGGGUCGUAAACUGCUUUUAUAAGUGAAGAAUAUGACGGUAGCUUAUGAAUAAGCACCGGCUAACUACGUGCCAGCCGCCGCAGUAAGA
rnacentral:rRNA from 1 species